rnacentral:rRNA from 1 species
AUCUAUCCAUGAGCAAGUUGAAGCUAGUGUAAGAACUAGUGGAGGACUGAACCCAUAGGCGUUGAAAAGCCCCGGGAUGACUUGUGGAUAGGGGUGAAAGGCCAAUCAAACUUCGUGAUAGCUGGUUCUCUCCGAAAUAUAUUUAGGUAUAGCGUUGUGUCGUAAUAUAAGGGGGUAGAGCACUGAAUGGGCUAGGGCAUACACCAAUGUACCAAACCCUAUCAAACUCCGAAUACCUUAUAUGUAAUCACAGCAGUCAGGCGGCGAGUGAUAAAAUCCGUCGUCAAGAGGGAAACAACCCAGACUACCAGCUAAGGUCCCUAAAUCUUACUUAAGUGGAAAACGAUGUGAAGUUACUUAAACAACCAGGAGGUUGGCUUAGAAGCAGCCAUCCUUUAAAGAAAGCGUAAUAGCUCACUGGUCUAGUGAUUUUGCGCGGAAAAUAUAACGGGGCUAAAGU